rnacentral:rRNA from 1 species
CCAGCACCCCGAGUGGUCGGGACGAUUAUUGGGCCUAAAGCAUCCGUAGCCGGUUUUACAAGUCCUCCGUUAAAUCCAACUGCUUAACAGAUGGGCCGCGGAGGAUACUAUAAGACUAGGAGGCAGGAGAGGCAAGCGGUACUCAGUGGGUAGGGGUAAAAUCCGUUGAUCCAUUGAAGACCACCAGUGGCGAAGGCGGCUUGCCAGAAUGCGCUCGACGGUGAGGGAUGAAAGCUGGGGGAGCAAACCGGAUUAGAUACCCGGGUAGUCCCAGCUGUAAACGAUGCAGACUCGGUGAUGGACUAGCUUUAUGCUAGUCCAGUGCCGCAGGGAAGCCGUUAAGUCUGCCGCCUGGGUAGUACGGUCGCAAGACCG